rnacentral:lncRNA from 1 species
AAUAAAAUAAAAUCUGGAAGUGAGGAAAGACAUCACAUCCAACCCGCAUUCCUGUCCCUCACAACUGAAAGGAUGGACUUUUUCAACAUCUUUAGUUGUUAUAUCAUAAUGAUGUCACACACUGAUAAAAUUUAUGAUGAUAAUCAUUGUAGUUACAUUGUGGUCACAGUAUGUUUGUGAUGUCAUCCCUACCUCAUGCUUUGCAAUAUCAACACCAAUUUAGAAUAACAGGCUGAAGGAUUUAAAAUUAUGACUCAAAAAUGCCCUAUCCAUGGGGCAGUUUUAACUCAGAAUAGCCUAUAUUACUUGUUGGGACCCUGAAAAGUUCAGUACCAACAAGUCAAAUGGUGUGGGAAACCUUUGCAGAACACUCUGAUAGAAAGAACAAUGCCAAUAUGCCCAAUCCUUUGGGGCAAUUGUGAUUUUAGUUAUUCUAUAUUAGAUGUAGUAUCAUGGGAAGUUACCUUGCAACAUUUGGUCCCAAUAGGUCAAAUAGUGUGGGAGUCUAUGCAGAACAAAAAACAAACAGAGAGAAAGACAGUCAAACAUUGUAUUUUAUAUAUAUGUAUGUAUGUUACACUCAAGGACUGAAAUUGCACAAUGACCGAGGGAGCAAUUGCAGCGCAUUUUGGCUGGUUCCAAAUGACCAAACAACAAUGCUCAACAUUAUUUCACUUCAUGGCCAUU